rnacentral:piRNA from 1 species
UAGUUGCCAAAUUAAUCCAUACACACACAGU